UACAGAGGUCUCAAGCGUUGUUCGGAUUCAUUGGGCGUAAAGGGUGCGUAGGCGGCGUGGUAAGUCGGAUGUGAAACCUCGGAGCUUAACUCCGAAACUGCAUUCGAUACUGCCGUGCUUGAGGACUGGAGAGGAGACUGGAAUUACGGUGUAGCGGUGAAAUGCGUAGAUAUCGUAAGGAAGACCAGUGGCGAAGGCGGGUCUCUGGACAGUUCCCUGACGCUGAGGCACGAAGGUCAGGGGAGCAAACGGG
rnacentral:rRNA from 1 species